rnacentral:rRNA from 1 species
GACAGAGGGGGCAAGCGUUGCUCGGAAUCACUGGGCGUAAAGGGCGCGUAGGCGGGAUGGCAAGUCGGUCGUGAAAUCCUUCGGCUCAACCGAAGAACGUCGGCCGAUACUGCCGUUCUUGAGGGAUGCAGAGGAAAUUGGAAUUCCCGGUGUAGCGGUGAAAUGUGUAGAGAUCGGGAGGAACACCGGUGGCGAAGGCGGGUCUCUGGGCAUCUCCUGACGCUGAGGCGCGAAAGCGUGGGGAGCAAACGGG